GUAGAAGGGCAGGCAUGGGGCUGGAGCCUCGAUCUUCCUUGCCCUCUCUGUAGUCUUGGGCGCUGGUGGAGCACCCCAGCUCUCCUUGGGUUCUCCUUCUACCUGUGGGGUGGCCCUAUGCUCCUGGGGGAUGCUGUCCUUAGUGCCUGUGAGCUCCCCAGGGGUAGGACUCCCAUGAGCACCCCCUGGCUGACUGUGAUCUCCUCCCCCUCUCAUAAGGUGGCACCAGGCCACCCACUGACCAGGAGCACCCCCAGGGAGGUGCCUCAAAGGCCCAAGAAUCCUCUCCACACAGGGCCCCGCUUGGUGGGAUGAAGGGCCUAGUGCCCUUCUAGACAGCAGGAAUUGUUAGCAAGUUUUUCCUUCUCUCUCAUUGCCACUCGUUGCUUCUAGUUCUGGCCUCCUGGAGCCCAAGUGAACAGACCACUCCUUCCAUUAUGGACCAGAGGAGGAGGGUCAUGGCAGCAGCCAUGAAUGCCCCGGGGCCUCACCCUCUCCUCUGGCCCUAGGUGCUCACCAGAGCUCCACCCUCCGCCCCAACGGCGUUCUGCCCACCAACCCAGACGGGUGCUCAGCCUCGGCCACGCUUGGCCCCUGGAAAAUUGGAAUGAGCUGAUCCCCUCCCCAACAGCAGGGCUUUCCAGUGAGAGGGGGGCUGGGAAAAUUCCUCAGGGAGUAAAUGGUGGCACCAGCCUGCCUUUGCCUGGCUCCUGAGCCUCAGUGGGGGUCUCCUUAAGCCCCCAGUCUCCAGCCUCUGCUCGUCUCUCUGCAUGUGGUAGCCGAGGCACCCCCGCAUGCCUCCUGUUACGUCUCUGACCCCUCCUUAUGUAUUUCCAGCAGCUUCAUCUCCCUCCCACCUGCCUGGGGAGUGGGCACCGGAAGCCUGCCAUCCACACUAGGGGACCACCAGAGAGUCAUUUGGCUUGUAAGAGCCUCCCUAAAAGGGGAUGAUAGCACCUUUCGUACCCAACUCCCAGGAUUGAUGUGAGAACCAGAGAAGAUUUCUCCAAUGCAUACCUCACAUGGCAUCUACAGCACAGUCUUAAUGACUGUGACGUGUCCCAGCUGGCUCUCUCUGCUGCCCUUUUAAUUUUUCGGAAGCCUCAGUGUUCUCGGACUUGCAAUUCCACCUCCUGGCCAGAAGAUCAAAAGUGUCGAAGGGGCCCGCGCUUGGCAUCAGUGACAGAAAAGGAACACUUUCCCCAAGGCCGUCCAUUCUGGCACCAGCUGCUAGGAUAGUCCGCUUUUAUCUUUGAGGGUGUUCUCAUGGCGCGACCCGCUCUCUUGAGCCGUCCGCCAAACUGUAUAUCCGAGUAUUGAUGGACAACAGGCUUUCUUCAUCCACUUACUUUUCCCUGUGUGAACACUGUUGAUUCUGGAUCUCACUUAGAAGGCUCUGUUCUGGGACUGGACGCAAUUGCACAAUGUCGCUGGCCGCUGAGUCCAGGCAGGCCUCGCCAUUUACGGGGAAGCCCAUCCGCACCGCCUCAUCCCCGUGGCAGAUGCCGUUGGUGAGCGCACGACUCCUUUUCCCCCCCUUGCCUGAUAUUCCUAGCCAGAGGUUUAUCAGAGAGUGGCACCUCGGUUGUUAACACCUUUCAAGGAGGCUCAUAUGAUUUUGACACAGGCACAGGUGGUCACUUUGUCAGUGGGGUGCUUUGAAGGCAGGCCGUAUUCUGCCUUACUGAAUUAAGUGCUUUUUAAAAAUGUCCAACAAACAAUAAACAUAGGAAUUUUUUCCCCUA